rnacentral:rRNA from 1 species
AGGGUUUGAUCAUGGCUCAGGAUGAACGCUGGCGGCGUGCUUAACACAUGCAAGUCGAACGAACCUUCGGGUUAGUGGCGGACGGGUGAGUAACGCGUGAGAAUCUGCCCUCAGGAGGGGGAUAACGGUUGGAAACGACCGCUAAUACCCCAUAUGCCUACUGGUGAAAUGAAUUUCGCCUGAGGAUGAGCUCGCGUCUGAUUAGCUAGUUGGUGAGGUAAUGGCUCACCAAGGCUUCGAUCAGUAGCUGGUCUGAGAGGAUGAUCAGCCACACUGGGACUGAGACACGGCCCAGACUCCUACGGGAGGCAGCAGUGGGGAAUUUUCCGCAAUGGGCGAAAGCCUGACGGAGCAACGCCGCGUGAGGGACGAAGGCCUCUGGGCUGUAAACCUCUUUUCUCAAGGAAGAAGAUAUGACGGUACUUGAGGAAUAAGCCACGGCUAAUUCCGUGCCAGCAGCCGCGGUAAUACGGGAGUGGCAAGCGUUAUCCGGAAUUAUUGGGCGUAAAGCGUCCGCAGGCGGCUUUUCAAGUCUGCUGUUAAAGCGUGGAGCUUAACUCCAUCAUGGCAGUGGAAACUGAAAGGCUUGAGUAUGGUAGGGGCAGAGGGAAUUCCCGGUGUAGCGGUGAAAUGCGUAGAUAUCGGGAAGAACACCAGUGGCGAAGGCGCUCUGCUGGGCCAUUACUGACGCUCAUGGACGAAAGCCAGGGGAGCGAAAGGGAUUAGAUACCCCUGUAGUCCUGGCCGUAAACGAUGAACACUAGGUGUCGGGGGAAUCGACCCCUUCGGUGUCGUAGCUAACGCGUUAAGUGUUCCGCCUGGGGAGUACGCACGCAAGUGUGAAACUCAAAGGAAUUGACGGGGGCCCGCACAAGCGGUGGAGUAUGUGGUUUAAUUCGAUGCAACGCGAAGAACCUUACCAGGGUUUGACAUCCUGCGAACCUCUUAGAAAUUUGAGGGUGCCUUCGGGAAUGCAGUGACAGGUGGUGCAUGGCUGUCGUCAGCUCGUGUCGUGAGAUGUUGGGUUAAGUCCCGCAACGAGCGCAACCCACGUUUUUAGUUGCCAGCAUUUAGUUGGGCACUCUAGAAAGACCGCCGGUGAUAAACCGGAGGAAGGUGUGGAUGACGUCAAGUCAUCAUGCCCCUUACACCCUGGGCUACACACGUACUACAAUGCUACGGACAAAGGGCAGCAAACUCGCGAGAGCUAGCAAAUCCCAUAAACCGUGGCUCAGUUCAGAUCGUAGGCUGCAACUCGCCUACGUGAAGUAGGAAUCGCUAGUAAUCGCAGGUCAGCAUACUUCGGUGAAUACGUUCCCGGGCCUUGUACACACCGCCCGUCACACCAUGGAAGUUGGCCAUGCCCGAAGUCGUUACUCCAACCCUUGUGGAGGAGGACGCCGAAGGUGGGGCUAAUGACUGGGGUGAAGUCGUAACAAGGUAACCGUA